rnacentral:rRNA from 1 species
AUAACGGUCCUAAGGUAGCGAAAUUCCUUGUCGGGUAAGUUCCGACCUGCACGAAAGGUGUAAUGAUCUGAGCGCUGUCUUGGCGGGAGGCCUGGUGAAAUUGUAUUACCGGUGAAGAUACCGGUUACCUGCAGUAGGACGGAAAGACCCCAUGGAGCUUUACUGUAGCUUGGUAUUGGGUUUUGGUGUCGUAUGUAUAGGAUAGUUGGGAGGCUAUGAUGUAUGGACGCUAGUUCAUGCGGAGCCGCUGGUGGAAUACCAACCAUACUACACUAGAAUUCUAAUUUGAGGUUUGUAACCUCGAAGACAGUGCUAGGUGGGCAGUUUGACUGGGGCGGUCGCCUCCGAAAGAGUAACGGAGGCGCCCAAAGGUUCCCUCAGGUUGGAUGGAAAUCAACCGCAGAGUGUAAUGGCAGAAGGGAGCUUGACUGCGAGACUGACGGGUCGAGCAGGUGCGAAAGCAGGGCAUAGUGAUCCGGCGAUUCCGAAUGGAAGGGUCGUCGCUCAACGGAUAAAAGCUACCCUGGGGAUAACAGGCUGAUUUUGCCCGAGAGUCCAUAUCGACGGCAAAGUUUGGCACCUCGAUGUCGGCUCAUCUCAUCCUGGGGCUGGAGAAGGUCCCAAGGGUUGGGCUGUUCGCCCAUUAAAGAGGUACGUGAGCUGGGUUCAGAACGUCGUGAGACAGUUCGGUCCCUAUCCACUGCAGGCGUAAGAGUAUUGCAAAGAUCUGUCCUUAGUACGAGAGGACCGGGAUGGACAAACCUCUGAUGUACCAGUUGUCACGCCAGUGGCACAGCUGGGUAGUCACGUUUGGAAUAGAUAACCGCUGAAAGCAUCUAAGCGGGAAACUGACUUUAAGAUAAGUACUCUAUAGACAACUUCGAGACUAGGAGUUUGAUAGGUUGGGAGUGUAAGAGCAGCAAUGUUUUUAGCGGACCAAUACUAAUAAGUCGGAAUCUUAAUCUU